rnacentral:rRNA from 1 species
UGGAACCACCUGAUCCAUUCCGAACUCAGCAGUGAAACGGUGCAUCGCCGAUGGUAGUGUGGGGUUUCCCCAUGUGAGAGUAGGUCAUCGCUAGGC